AAUGAACGUUGGCGGCAUGGAUUAGGCAUGCAAGUCGAGCGAGAAGCUUCCUUCGGGAAGUGGACAGCGGCGAAAGGGAGAGUAACGCGUAGAUUAUCUACCCUCAGGUCUGGGAUAGCCACCGGAAACGGUGAUUAAUACCAGAUAAUGUCUCAGGACCAAAGUUUUUCGCCUGAGGAGGAGUCUGCGUCCUACUAGCUAGUUGGUGUGGUAAAGGCGCACCAAGGCUACGAUGGGUAGCGGGCGUGAGAGCGUGGCCCGUCUCACUGGGACUGAGAUACUGCCCAGACAUCUACGGAUGGCUGCAGUCGAGAAUCUUCGGCAAUGGACGAAAGUCUGACCGAGCAAUGCCGCGUGCGGGAUGAAGGCCCUCGGGUUGUAAACCGCUGUCAGAGGAAGGAAUUUUUGACUGAACCUCAGAGGAAGCACAGGCUAAGUUCGUGCCAGCAGCCGCGGUAA
rnacentral:rRNA from 1 species